rnacentral:rRNA from 1 species
GACGAACGCUGGCGGCGUGCCUAAUACAUGCCAGUAGAACGCUGAAGGAGGAGCUUGCUUCUCUGGAUGAGUUGCGAACGGGUGAGUAACGCGUAGGUAACCUGCCUGGUAGCGGGGGAUAACUAUUGGAAACGAUAGCUAAUACCGCAUAAUAGUAGAUGUUGCAUGACAUUUGCUUAAAAGGUGCAAUUGCAUCACUACCAGAUGGACCUGCGUUGUAUUAGCCAGUUGGUGGGGUAACGGCUCACCAAGGCGACGAUACAUAGCCGACCUGAGAGGGUGAUCGGCCACACUGGGACUGAGACACGGCCCAGACUCCUACGGGAGGCAGCAGUAGGGAAUCUUCGGCAAUGGACGGAAGUCUGACCGAGCAACGCCGCGUGAGUGAAGAAGGUUUUCGGAUCGUAAAGCUCUGUUGUAAGAGAAGAACGAGUGUGAGAGUGGAAAGUUCACACUGUGACGGUAUCUUACCAGAAAGGGACGGCUAACUACGUG